CUCCGGGAAACUUGAAAUAAUUACCGCAUACGCCCUACGGGGGAAAGAUUUAUCGAGGAAGGAUUGGCCCGCGUUGGAAUAGCUAGUUGGUGGGGUAAGGCCUACCAAGGCGACGAUCCAUAGCUGGUCUGAGAGGAUGAUCAGCCACAUGGGGACUGAGACACGGCCCCAACUCCUACGGGAGGCAGCAGUGGGGAAUAUUGGACAAUGGGCGCAAGCCUGAUCCAGCCAUGCCGCGUGAGUGAUGAAGGCCUUAGGGUUGUAAAGCUCUUUCACCGGAGAAGAUAAUGACGGUAUCCGGAGAAGAAGCCCCGGCUAACUUCGUGCCAGCAGCCGCGGUAAUACGAAGGGGGCUAGCGUUGUUCGGAAUUACUGGGCGUAAAGCGCACGUAGGCGGAUAUUUAAGUCAGGGGUGAAAUCCCAGAGCUCAACUCUGGAACUGCCUUUGAUACUGGGUAUCUUGAGUAUGGAAGAGGUAAGUGGAAUUCCGAGUGUAGAGGUGAAAUUCGUAGAUAUUCGGAGGAACACCAGUGGCGAAGGCGGCUUACUGGUCCAUUACUGACGCUGAGGUGCGAAAGCGUGGGGAGCAAACAGGAUUAGAUAC
rnacentral:rRNA from 1 species